UGGGGGAUAUUGCACAAUGGGGGAAACCCUGAUGCAGCGACGCCGCGUGGAGGAAGAAGGUUUUCGGAUUGUAAACUCCUGUCGUUAGGGACGAUAAUGACGGUACCUAACAAGAAAGCACCGGCUAACUACGUGCCAGCAGCCGCGGUAAAACGUAGGGUGCAAGCGUUGUCCGGAAUUACUGGGUGUAAAGGGAGCGCAGGCGGGAAGACAAGUUGGAAGUGAAAACCAUGGGCUCAACCCAUGAAUUGCUUUCAAAACUGUUUUUCUUGAGUAGUGCAGAGGUAGAUGGAAUUCCCGGUGUAGCGGUGGAAUGCGUAGAUAUCGGGAGGAACACCAGUGGCGAAGGCGGUCUACUGGGCACCAACUGACGCUGAGGCUCGAAAGCAUGGGUAGCAAACAGGAUUAGAUACCCUGGUAGUCCAUGCCGUAAACGAUGAUUACUAGGUGUUGGAGGAUUGACCCCUUCAGUGCCGCAGUUAACACAAUAAGUAAUCCACCUGGGGAGUACGACCGCAAGGUUGAAACUCAAAGGAAUUGACGGGGGCCCGCACAAGCAGUGGAGUAUGUGGUUUAAUUCGACGCAACGCGAAGAACCUUACCAAGUCUUGACAUCCCUUGACAGGCAUAGAAAUAUGUUUUCUCUUCGGAGCAAGGAGACAGGUGGUGCAUGGUUGUCGUCAGCUCGUGUCGUGAGAUGUUGGGUUAAGUCCCGCAACGAGCGCAACCCUUAUGGUCAGUUACUACGCAAGAGGACUCUGGCCAGACUGCCGUUGACAAAACGGAGGAAGGUGGGGAUGACGUCAAAUCAUCAUGCCCUUUAUGACUUGGGCUACACACGUACUACAAUGGCGUUAAACAAAGAGAAGCAAGACCGCGAGGUGGAGCAAAACUCAGAAACAACGUCCCAGUUCGGACUGCAGGCUGCAACUCGCCUGCACGAAGUCGGAAUUGCUAGUAAUCGUGGAUCAGCAUGCCACGGUGAAUACGUUCCC
rnacentral:rRNA from 1 species